GGCUCGGGAGCGGACCUGUGGGAGGGUUCGCAGGAAUAGAGCCUCUGACCCAUUUCGCAAGCGGCCGGCGGCUGAGGCCCGACAGCCCGCCCG
rfam:Rhodobacteraceae bacterium HL-91 ITZX_scaf_107, whole genome shotgun sequence.